GCCUGGGUGGCUCAGUCGGUUAAGCGUCUGACUUCAGCUCAGGUCAUGAUUUCAUCAUGGUUCGUGAGUUCAAGGCGCACAUCAGGCU
rnacentral:tRNA from 1 species